rnacentral:miRNA from 1 species
GCCCACCUCAGCCUCCCAAAGUGCUGGGAUUACAGGCGUGAGCCACUGCGCUGGGAGCUGGGACCGGAUCCUGCUUCU